CUUCUACAACGGAGAGAGAAAGCGUGGGCCUGAGGGUGCCUGAGAGGCUAGGGCCAGCCUCCCGCCUCAGGCUCCCCAACUUGUCCCCCAGCCUCCACAAGAGACCCUGCUCAUUCAUGUAUGGGCUGAGGUCCUUUGAAAAUUGGACCUCAGGCCAGGUCACUCCCUGAAACCUGAAACUCUUCAGUGGCAUCUCACUGGAUAUAUGGGAAUGCCACAGAAUAAACCUGGCUGCAUCUAUCAAGUUUCCUAACAGCAGAGAAGACAUCUAUCUUUUCACUGCUGUGUCCCUGGUACGUAGAAGAGGGCCUGGCAAACAGGAGAAACUCCAUGCUUGAGGAAAGGCCAUCUGAGGACAUGGAGAGAAGACAGCCAGCCUUCUGCAACCCAAAGAGAGAAGCCUCACCAGAACCGAGUCUGCCUGUGCCUUGAUCUUAGACUUUCUAGUCUCCAAAACUGUGAUAAAUAAAUGUCUACUGUC
rnacentral:lncRNA from 10 species